rnacentral:lncRNA from 1 species
UCAAGAGAGAGAGAGAGAGUCUCUAUGUUGGGCAUGCCUUUUUAGGAGAGAGAGUAGAGAGAGAAGGGUUCUUUUUAGGAGAGAGAGAAAAUAAGAGGGACAUGGCCCCUAGGAAAGAUAGAGAGAGAGUUUGUGGGAGAGAGAGGUGUGUUGAGAUGGGGGGAGUGCACCACUAUUUAUAAUCAAAUUUAGGUUUAGGGUUUCCAUAGUUUGCCUCUUUUUUGAGAUUGAAUAUGGACC